rnacentral:lncRNA from 1 species
AAUUAUCGGAACUGUGGAAGUCGGAGACGAACGCCCGAGCUUCUACAGCUCCGGCCGACUGUAAAACAACCCCUAGACUCCGAUCUAGGUAUGAACAUGAAAUAGAAGACGAGAGGAACAUUUUUAUAACGUCCGUUUGCCGUGAAACGGCCGGAGGUGUUCGGAAAGUACGACGACACCGACGGCCUCGCCGGAGAUGGGUGUGCCUAUCCCGAGUCGAUUUCAUCCCAAAAACCUUGCAAAAAGACGAGAUAUAACUUCAAUUUCACAUCUAAGCUUCGAUCUAGAACAUAAAAAGAAAAACCCGAAGCUUACCUAACCGGAGAAAUUGAAGGAACUCGCCGGAGCAGGUGCGAUGGUGUGCAUGUAGGUCUCGGUACAGAGAGAAAGGAGAGGUGUAGGUGGGUCUCGAUGCAGAGAGAAAGGAGAGGUCUCGGUGCAGAGAGAAAGGAGAGGUGUAGGUGGGUCUCGGUGCAGAGAGAAAGGAGAGGUGUAAGGGAAAAGUUGAUGGUUUUAAUUGUCAAAACCAUGGGCACUGAUGGUUUUGAUGGACUGGGAAGGAUCUCAAAUAUAUAUUUUAUAU